AGAAAGAAAAAAAGAAAAGAAAGAAAGAAAAAAGAAAAAUCCGGAUUGUUGAAUAGAGGGAAGGGAAUAAACAAAAAAAAAAGAGAGAGAGACUCUUUCCCCCUAGCGUGGACAAACGCUCUGUAAUGCAGCAUGGAAGAAAAUAAAGUCUGAACAAAACUAGACGGUGAGACAAGCACGUAGGAGAGGGUGAAACUGACGUUAACGCAGACUCUAUGGGAAUCUGGUCACUGGGAAGCAAAACACGCUCUCCUUUGCUCGCUCUCACAACCGCUUCCAAAAGACACGCACUAGGACUGAGUUCCGAUGAAACGCGGCUUUCAAAAUAUUCACACGCCGGACACGCUGCAGUUGAGGUUUCUUUGGAGAUCGUCUGGUGGGGAAGAGAGACCAGGGAGGCAUCUGCACUGCAAACUGUUACCCAGCACCACUCCGAGGGACUGGGAAAGUGCUGCAUACUGAUCCUUAUCACAGUGCAUAGGGUGAUCCUGAGGCCAAACUUCAGAGAAGUCAAGGAAGUUUUACCGAAGUAUACAGCAACCUGAGGUCUGUAAUUUGCAUGUAAUGACUAAAAUGAUAUAAAGAAAAGGAGUACUUACAUACAAAUGGGUUUUAUACAUUACUAAUUCGAUUUAAAAAGUGGGAUCAUAGGAAAGAACUAAAGUUGGGCCCCUUCACCCCCAAACUUCCAUGAGACCACAAAACAAAACCAAGCUGAACUGCAGUGCCACUGGCUUUCUUGAAAAAGUUAACAGUGAGUUAAAAGCCGGCUGGUGUUCACUGUUCUAAU